AUUACCACGCAAGGUAGUAAUUGCUAAAUAUUUCUCUGUCUGCUCGUGAAUAUAUAUGUUUUUUUUUAAGCAUUAUAAACUAGAGGAUGCAUAAAUGUCAGAGACGAUAACUAAAUAUUCCAAGUGCGUAAUAUUUGACAAGAAAAGAAACUAGUAAGAUAUUUAUUACACAGCUUAGGCUAGCGUCUCCCACGAAGCUUUGUGUGUAAAUUUCUGUUAAAGAAUAACGUUAAUAAAUUGUAAUUUUUCGUGUUAUUUCAUAGUUAUUGGUGAUGUUAUUUUACAAGAAGGCGUAUGAUGUAGCAAAAGUGAGACCAAAUAGUAAAAAAGUGUCAAAUUUGACUAGAAAUAAUACAAAAGCGCUAAUACAGCAGUCUUGCCAGUGGAAGACCUACACCAAAACAUUCCUGCCCACGGGCCACCACAGUUGUAAAUCCUGGCCUGGUGUAGGUUAUCAUCAUGCUAGAGAUAUAUUAACAAAAAAUUAGUAUAAAUUGAUUCCAGAAACUAAGUGGAAAUCAGUCUUAGUCUAAUCCUCUGUUCAAGCUUAUCUUCCGAUGGAUUCAAUGGAGUUUUGACAAACAAUUCCUUCAGCCGCGUCGACAGACCUUAUAGUUAACAUGCAAACUAGAAAACUCCGUCAGAUAUUCAUUUUAUCUCUGAUGGAUAAGUUCAGACUUAUUAGCAUAGGUGAUAACAGCCCACGCUUGAAGACCUGUCUUCAUAUCUCAUCAGUAAGGACCCAUGGAGUGGACUGCACUCUUUAUGGCAAAAAUUUUGACAAUGCAACGUUACUGAAGCUUUCGGUGGAAGUUGGGUUCACCGCCCCUGGCGUGAUAUCGUUCGUAAUAUCGUGGAAAUGAUUCGUAUGGUUCUCAGUCCAGAGGGCAUGCUUGAAGUAAGUGUUCCUGUGACUAUAUCUUACUUUUUCCAUUAUUUACAUCUUAAGAAAUCUGAAGCUCAUUUGCUUUGGGAUAGAUACGUAUGAA